rnacentral:rRNA from 1 species
CUGAGUAGUAUUAGUUAUGUUCUUGAAACUUAAAAAAUUUGGCGGUAUUUUAGUCUAUUCAGAGGAACCUGUUCUAUAAUCGAUAAUCCACGAUGGACCUUUCUUGUUUUUGAUUUUCAGUUUAUAUACCGUCGUUAUCAGAAUAUUUUAAAAGAAUAAAAAUUUUCAAUCUUUUUAAUUAGAGAAUAUAUCAGAUCAAGGUGUAGCUUAUGAACAAGUUGAAAUGGGUUACAAUAAAAUUAUUUAUAUGGAUGCUACUAUGAAAAAUUAGCUGAAAGUGGAUUUGAAAGUAAAUUUAUAAAGACUAAUAAAUUGAUUUUAGCUCUAAAAUAUGCACACAUCGCCCGUCGCUCUUACUACUAAGGUAAGAUAAGUCGUAACAUAGUAGAGGUACCGGAAGGUGCCUCUAGAAUAACAAUUUAAAACUUAUUUAGUAAAGUUUUUCAUUUACAUUGAAAGAAUUAGUGUGCAAGUCACUAUAAAUUGAUUAGAUUUUGUUUAUGAAAAUUUUAUUUUUUUUUGUGUAGAAUAUUAAAAAUAAUUAUAAAUUUAUUUGUUUGAGUAUCUUUUAGAGAAAAAAUAAUUUCUAUAAUAGCUUAAUUGUAUCGUAAGAGAAUAUUGAAAUAUAUGAAAAA